AUACGGAGGAUGCGAGCGUUAUCCGGAUUUAUUGGGUUUAAAGGGUGCGUAGGCGGACGAUUAAGUCAGCUGUGAAAUGCCCGCGCUUAACGCGGGAAGUGCAGUUGAUACUGGUUGUCUGGAGUGCCGUUGCCGUGGGGGGAAUGUGUAGUGUAGCGGUGAAAUGCAUAGAUAUUACACAGAACGCCGAUUGUGAAGACACCUCACGAAGCGGUAACUGACGCUGAGGCACGAAAGCGUGGGGAUCGAACAGGAUUAGAUACCCUGGUAGUCCACGCAGUAAACGAUGAUGACUAACCGUCGGCGAUAGAAUGUCGGUGGCCAAGCGAAAGCGAUAAGUUAUCCACCUGGGGAGUACGUUCGCAAGAAUGAAACUCAAAGGAAUUGACGGGG
rnacentral:rRNA from 1 species